rnacentral:rRNA from 1 species
AAUAUUGGACAAUGGGCGAAAGCCUGAUCCAGCCAUGCCGCGUGUGAAGAAGGUCUUNNNAUUGUNACGCACUUUAAGUUGGGNGGCNGGGCAGUAAGUUAAUACCUUGCUGUUUUGACGUUACCGACAGAAUAAGCACCGGCUAACUUCGUGCCAGCAGCCGCGGUAAUACGAAGGGUGCAAGCGUUAAUCGGAAUUACUGGGCGUAAAGCGCGCGUAGGUGGUUUGUUAAGUUGGAAGUGAAAGCCCCGGGCUCAACCUGGGAACUGCUUUCAAAACUGACGAGCUAGAGUACGGUAGAGGGUAGUGGAAUUUCCUGUGUAGCGGUGAAAUGCGUAGAUAUAGGAAGGAACAUCAGUGGCGAAGGCGACUACCUGGACUGAUACUGACACUGAGGUGCGAAAGCGUGGGGAGCAAACAGG